GAAUUUGCCCAUUGGUCAGGCUUAACUGUCUGAACUGGUGUGACGAGUUCCUACCUUCUGAGGAAUCUUCAUGCCAUUCAUUUGGUGUGGAGGGAAAUCAGGACUGUUACUUUGAAAAAAUUAGAGUGUUUAAAGCAGGCUCACGCUUGAAUACAUUAGCAUGGAAUAAUGAAAUAGGACGUUUGAUUCUAUUUUGUUGGUUUCUAGGAUCGAUGUAAUGAUUAAUAGGGAUAGUUG
rnacentral:rRNA from 2 species